rnacentral:lncRNA from 1 species
AGUUUCAUAUGUGAAGGCUCUAUGAAUGUAAUGGGGACAAAUACCACCCUAGGAAUGUAAACAUGACAAGAAAAAAAGCCUACAGAAACUGUAUGUGCUUGCCAUUCAAAGGUGCAUAGCUUCUUUAAGAUGACAGGUUCAGUCAGCAUAUUUCAGCAGACUUGGGCUAUUUCAGUUCACCACUUGCAUAUUUUAUAUCAAGUGACCUGCCAAAUGUCAUGAAGAGGUGAACAGGGAAUAGAGAAAUCAGUCAAGGUGAUGGAUGAGCUGCAGACUUGAUUAUUUAUUCAAAUUAUUCCCACAACGAUUGAGUCUUGCUGAUUGCAGACAGCAUUUUGUCACAAUCAUUAGGAAAGGGCAAAGGUGACAGAAAUUUAAUGGCCAAAUUAGAGUUAUUGAACAGUGCCAAGUAUGACAAUAUUUUUAAAAUCUGAAGUAGAAAACUGUUUUCAUCAGUGACCAGUAACAUUUAGAGCUCUUUUCUCUAACCUAUCUGUCUUUUUGUUCUUGAAAGUGUACGUGCAACUCCAAAGGCAUUCCAGAGGAUAAAUUCAAUACCUCCCAGUUUCACUUCAGGCUUUAAAGUCUUAAAGUAAGUGUGGCAUCUCACCAUUCUCUCCCACUCCUCUUGAAGUGUUUGGGGGGGUGGGGGGGGUGGGGGGGAAGUGUUUCAAAUAUGUCUUUGCACACUCCUCUCUUUCCUUGUUAUGUUAGUUCAUUUCAGUGUCACAGAAGCCGCAAGAAGGCAGCACACCAGGAUGAUGCUGAAAAGUGAUCUGACACAACCAAGAAGCUCAGAAGAAACAACAGGCACGAAGAGAAACGGGACAGCCCAGCUCAGCAACUUGCUGUGGGCUUGGAAGUAACGACCAUGAGAGAACCCCAGGACUGUGACUCAUUAUCUGUGUGACACAUUUCUGGAUUCCUCACAUCUGAGAGCCAUUUGUAUGGGUGGCAAGGAGGUGGAUGGAGCCACACAGAGAGAUUCUUCCCUGCAGCAGGGUGUGGAGGCUGGGGCAAAGCAGGAGCAGGAGUGAGUGCAGUGAUCUGGCCCAGCACCCUCUUCCCCUUCCAUCAGCAUCAUUGUCUUCAUAUAAUUUGUAGAUCCUCUGCAACUCUGUCUUUCCCACCUUUGUAUAUAUAUAUAUAUAUAUAUCUUAGCCUGUCUUGUGUUCUGCUACUGGUCAGUUACUGGUCUGGAUGAUACCGUUAUAUAAAACUUCUGAAACAAAGGAAAUUUCCAAUGUUCACAUGUGAAAGAUUACAGUAAUAUCUCCCAUCAAAUAUUCAUUUUCCCCACAUGAUUCAAGGACAAUCUAGUCUUUACUCAACAGUCUUCUGUAUUGCAGUUUUCUUGUAUACCCGAAAAGGUAGAAGGCUUGAGUGCAAAUAUAAUGCAAUAUUCCAGUAGUUCUCAUCUACUUUGAAUGUUUUAACUAUAGAAUCAACAGUAGAACAUUAUCUAGAGAGCAGUAUUGCAACAAUAUGCAAUCUCACAUGUG